GGGCCCGCACAAGCGGAGGAACAUGUGGUUUAAUUCGAUGAUACGCGAGGAACCUUACCCGGGCUUGAAAUGCAUCCGACCGGCGCCGAGAAGCGCCUUCCCUUCGGGGCGGAUGUGUAGGUGCUGCAUGGUUGUCGUCAGCUCGUGCCGUGAGGUGUCGGCUUAAGUGCCAUAACGAGCGCAACCCUCAUCACUAGUUACUAACAGGUUGAGCUGAGGACUCUAAUGAGACUGCCAUCGUAAGAUGCGAGGAAGGUGGGGAUGACGUCAAAUCAGCACGGCCCUUACGUCCGGGGGCGACACACGUGUUACAAUGGGGUGGGUACAAAGGGCAGCUACAUGGCGACAUGAUGCCAAUCUCCAAAACCACUCUCAGUUCGGAUCGGAGUCUGCAACUCGACUCCGUGAAGCUGGAUUCGCUAGUAAUCGCGCAUCAGCCACGGCGCGGUGAAUACGUUCCCGGGCCUUGCACACACCGCCCGU
rnacentral:rRNA from 1 species